UCGAGGAUCUUCGGCAAUGGGCGCAAGCCUGACCGAGCGACGCCGCGUGUGCGAUGAAGGCCUUCGGGUUGUAAAGCACUGUCGAGGGGGAGGAAAGUCCGUAAGGAUUUGACCUAUCCCUGGAGGAAGCACGGGCUAAGUUCGUGCCAGCAGCCGCGGUAAGACGAACCGUGCAAACGUUGUUCGGAUUCACUGGGCUUAAAGGGCGCGUAGGCGGACCAGCAAGUCGGGGGUGAAAUCUUUCAGCUCAACUGGAAAACAGCUUCCGAUACUGCUGGCCUGGAGGGAGGUAGGGGUGCGUGGAACUCAGGGUGGAGCGGUGAAAUGCGUAGAUAUCCCGAGGAACGCCGGUGGCGAAAGCGACGCACUGGACCUUUCCUGACGCUGAGGCGCGAAAGCCAGGGGAGCAAACGGGAUUAGAUACCCGCGUAGUCC
rnacentral:rRNA from 1 species